rnacentral:misc_RNA from 1 species
AAGUCGUAACAAGGUUUCCGUAGGUGAACCUGCGGAAGGAUCAUUAACACUUUUUCUUUGAGUUUUUCUCAGCAUGUGCGCACAGUAGGAACUCGUUUGCCAUAGAUCGACGCGUUAUGAUUGGAAGCUCGAAAGGGCUUGGCGCGCCGGUAAUUUGGCUGACGGGGAAUAAAACUCAGUCUCUAAUCAUGGCUGGAAUUUUUUUUUACUUGAUUUUCGAACUGAUUUUAGGCAACGAUCGAGACCCUCUCUCUCUCCAGAGCGGGCCUCUCUGCGCCUCUGAUGAAUUUUUCUUCUUAGAAAAAUCUCUUCAACAUUAAACACAACUCUUAACAGCGGAUAUCUCGGUUCUCGU